CUGGAGGUGAGGGAUCCCAAUUUGAGACGGUGUCAGAAGGAUCACACUUUAGCUGUGCUUAAUGAUCUGACAUAGCAGAGAACAGGCAGUCUGGGAUGUAUGCACACGGGACAGAGAAAUCAUUUCAAGUGUCAAACGAAGACCGUAAGGAAGGAAGAUAGAAUGUAAAGAGACAAUAGCUUUGCCCCAAGCCAACCCUAAAUGACUAAUUACUCUCUUCAAUCCUGCAUGUACUAUUCUCUCCCAUGAAGGUGAUUUAAUAUAAAUUAUUCAGCUCUUAAUUACUUUUCACAUGGCUCUUACAAACAGCCACACUCAAAAAUACAUUAAUAAUUCAGUUUUUGAGAAGAUCCACAACCCAGAGCCCAUUAUCAAACAGAAAUAACACGGCCAGGCUUAAUAAACACAAAGACAACAGCUGGAGGACAAAGGCCACAUCACUUGGAUGUCACCGCUGGCACUGUAAUAAUCUCAAUAAGAUUAAACGGGUCAAGAACCGAGUAUGAUUCAUAAACCAGGGUCAUAUUUCAGCAAAAUGUUUCACAAAAUCAAAGAAAUAGAAAGAACUAGAGAAAGAAAGACAGAAAGAAAGAUAUUUUGUGUAUCAAGAAUUUCUACAAUAUUUUGUAAAGAAAAGUAUACACCCAUUGUCACAAAAAUUCAUUUUUAUUAUUGUAAUUUUCAAAAAUAAUUACAUCCUAGUAUUUUGCACUUCCACAAAAACACUAAUAAUGUAAGUAUUUUACUGUAAUACAGUUAAAAAUGUAAAAAAAUAAAUCAAAUCUAGGGUUGCAAAGAGUCCAAAAUUUUCUGAAGGUUUCCAAAAAACCUUGGAAAUUUUCCCAAAAUUCUGGAAAGUUUCUGAAAUUUUUCACCCUUUUCCACCCUUUUAGUCAAAUCAUCAUGGACAAUAAAGAGACAUAAACGGCAAACAACUUGAAUUUUCGUAUUUUAAUUAUAAUAACCCAUUUAAUUGCUUUUAUUUUUGUUCACGUUUUCAUUUUUAAUAAUGAACCUAAAGGACCAGCAUAUUGGCUUAUGCAUUUAUUUCCUUAUGAAGAGAACAGAGACUGCGUCAGUGACAGCGGAGUACACUUAAAACAACAAAAUACGCUAGUGCUGGAUAAAAAAAAUAAAAAAUAAAAUAAAACCGAUUUCUCUGUUUUAAUAGAUUCUUAUUUUUAUGAACCAAUAUCGUUUCUUAACUCCCAAUCGAUGCUGUUUUCAUUUGAUGAAUGCACAGUAACGUUAGACAAUCGGCUAAACUUUGUGCGUUGUUACUUUUGAUAUGAAAUGCAGUCUCAGGUUUCAAAUUCUGUCCAUUUUAUUAGGAAAUUCAAGCAAUAAAUACCGUUUUGGCGCUCUUUAAUGUGGCGUGAUAGAUCGCUGUAGACACCUCAGAUCAGGCGAUUCGCAUACUCGCCUGCCUGUGAGUAAUCAAAUACACAGCAAAAGACCUUUAUUUUUGUUCUGGAGACGAUCGCGCGCUCUGCUGCCCCACUGGAGCGCACCCGCCACCAACUGGACAGGGCUGGAAUUACAGUUAUAAAUUACAAUAGAUCACCCUCAGUGUGUGUAAUCUGCCAAAGUGACGGACGGCCUUCAGAUUUUUACGUCACUGCUAAAAAAAUUCCGUCAAUGACGGAGAAUUUUCGGUUAACGCGACCUCUAAUAUGCGCUGAUCAGUUUUGUCCCGUCUGCACAGCGCCGCAUUUCAGUCGCGCGCCUCUAGCGAGAGUGAUCACUAAAAGCGCGCGAGCGCCGCUGUUUAAACUUCAACGGUUCACGGUGUGCUGGCUGCGCUCAGUGCUCGGGAGAACGACGAUUACAUUGGUAAGUGAGAAAAUUAAUUCAUUUUUGCUUAUUUUAAUUACUUUUACAUAAACCCUGGAUAUUUUUAGUUUGCAUAACCUUACAAGUUUCUUUCAAGAAGCUAAAAGAAGAAAGGUGGUUUAUCGCGUCGUCCAGGCCUGCGAAAUUCUCCGCCGGGAGAGUGUAUUGGACCUAUAUGUAUACAAAAAGAUGAAACAAAGUUUCGGUCAAAUCGCCGUCAGACUGCCGUUAUAAACAUGAAUUCAAACCAAGAAGAACAAAGAGAGAAGCUGAUGGGGAUGUUUCCUUUUUUUUUUAUGUAGAUAACUAUGUUCAUCUAUCUCAGAGAGCACUGUUAAAGUUUUAGCAACAUCUUAUCAGAGCUCAAAAGAGGAAGUCAGUGGAAACGUGACCAACCUGCUGCAAAACAAUAACACAAAAGGUCUUGACUCUGGAGUGCAGCAUUACUUGUUUGGUCAUCUACAUUCAGAUGAAAACACCACACUUCUCUCUAAUUCAAGAUGUCAAGCCUACUCAUCGCAAAGAGAGUUAACAUCAGAAUGGAUGUGUCACUGACCAAUAACACAGAGAUGCUAGAAGUAUCUGUUUGCAGUCUACUUUUUGUUCAGUAUGGAGCAUCCAAAAGCCAUCACUCAGUUAAUUUCAAUCAGCACUAUUUAGCCCUUCCUAGUGCUGAAAUUGUCAUGGGUCCUUUGUUUUUAUUCUUUAAAUGCUUAUCUGUAUGUAAAAUUAAUAUUUAAUGCUUAUAAAUAAAUAAAAAAAAAUACUAUAGUUCCCUUUUCAGAAACAUGUGGUUCACAAUCUUUCAUGGGUUACAGAACUGGGGAAAGUUGCAGCAUACAAAAAAAUUUAAAAAAGUCAGACUGCUUGGUUUAUAGGGGAAUGUGGAGUAAAUACUUGACAUUUAUUUAAGGUAAAGGGUAAUGACGUGGUGGUGAGAUGCAAAAUAAGAGUGUCAUUAAUAUACUAUUUGAUGACAAAAUUUUCACAUUCUAAUUUUACUUAUGUAUUUAAUUUUUAUUUUUUAUUUUUGCAAGUUAACAUUCAAUUGUUUUUUUUUUUUUUUUUUGUGGUUUAUAGAAAUCACCAUAUAUUUGUGACUGACAUGUUGGAUGGGUGAGUAAGGUGGAGGGGGUUGAAAAAACUAUAUUUCUAAAAUGGAGAGUGCUAUUUUAGACAGGUAAAAAUAAUAAAGUACAAAUAAAUAAAGAAACAUGGAUUUAUGUUAAUCCCUGUAACUGUUGCACUAUGAAUUGCUGUGUUA